rnacentral:rRNA from 2 species
GAGUUUGAUCCUGGCUCAGGACGAACGCUGGCGGCGUGCUUAACACAUGCAAGUCGAGCGGAAAGGCCCCUUCGGGGGUACUCGAGCGGCGAACGGGUGAGUAACACGUGAGUAACCUGCCCCUGACUCUGGGAUAAGCCUGGGAAACCGGGUCUAAUACCGGAUACGACCACUCCGGGCAUCCGGUGGUGGUGGAAAGAUUUUUUCGGUCGGGGAUGGGCUCGCGGCCUAUCAGCUUGUUGGUGGGGUGACGGCCUACCAAGGCGACGACGGGUAGCCGGCCUGAGAGGGCGACCGGCC